UGGAGGGCAAGUCUGGUGCCAGCAGCCGCGGUAAUUCCAGCUCCAAUAGCGUAUAUUAAAGUUGUUGCAGUUAAAAAGCUCGUAGUUGAAUUUCGGGGUUCAUACGUUGGUCGGGCUUUUUUGGUCUGUACUUAUGUAAUGGAUUCCUACCUUCUGAAUAACCSGCAUGUCAUUAAUUUGGUGCGCCGGGGAAGCAGGACUGUUACCUUGAAAAAAUUAGAGUGCUUAAAGCAGGCUAUCGCCUGAAUACAUUAGCAUGGAAUAAUGAAAUAGGACGGCAUGGUUCUAUUUUGUUGGUUUCUAGGAUCACCGUAAUGAUUAAUAGGGAUAGUUGGGGGCAUUAGUAUUCAAUUGUCAGAGGUGAAAUUCUUGGAUUUAUUGAAGACUAACUUCUGCGAAAGCMUUUGCCAAGGAUGUUUUCAUUAAUCAAGAACGAAAGUUAGGGGAUCGAAGACGAUCAGAUACCGUCGUAGUCUUAACCAUAAACUAUGCCGACUAGGGAUCGGACGAUGUUAAUUUUUUAAUGACUCGUUCGGCGCCUUACGGGAAAC
rnacentral:rRNA from 1 species